rnacentral:rRNA from 1 species
CGGUUGAUCCUGCCGGACCCCACUGCUAUCGGGAUAGGACUAAGACAUGCUAGUCAAGCGCUCUCAAGCCAACAAGAGAGUGCGGCAUACAGCUCAGUAACACGUGGCUAACCUGCCCUCGAGACGGGGACAACCCCGGGAAACUGGGGCUAAUCCCUGAUAGGCGAAGAGCCCUGGAAUGAGCCUUCACCUGAAAAGACGAUCAGGCUAUGCUCCUGGUCGUUGCUCGAGGAUGGGGCCGCGGCCGAUCAGGUUGUUGGUGAGGUAACGGCUCACCUAGCCUUUGACCGGUGCGGGCCGUGGGAGCGGGAGCCCGGAGAUGGGCACUGAGACAAGGGCCCAGGCCCUACGGGGCGCAGCAGUCGCGCAAACUUUGCAAUACACGAAAGUGUGACAGGGCUAUCCCGAGUGCCGUCCGCUGAGGAUGGCUUUUAACCAGUCUAGAAAGCUGGUAGAAUAAGGAGAGGGCAAGUCUGGUGUCAGCCGCCGCGGUAAUACCAGCUCUCCGAGUGGUGUGGAUGUUUAUUGGGCCUAAAGCAUCCGUAGCUGGCCAAGUUAGUCCCCUGUUAAACCCAACGAAUUAAUCGUUGGAUUGCGGGGGAUACUGCUCGGCUAGGGGGCGAGAGAGGCCGAUGGUAUUCUCGGGGUAGGGGUGAAAUCCUAUAAUCCCGGGAAGACCACCAGUGGCNAAAGNNUGUCGGCUAGAACGAGCCCGACGGUGAGGGAUGAAAGCUGGGGGAGCGAACCGGAUUANAUACCCGGGUAGUCCCAGCUGUAAACGAUGCAGGCUA